ensembl:lncRNA
CUGCAUAUUGAUUGCAGGGCGUCGGUCCGUAUAAAAGGAAGCCGGUUUUUUCUUGGAUUAUUUCUCCCGUGCGUUUGGCGAAAAGCAGCAGUAAAUGCUGGCACACGGCUACGGAUCGAUCACGCGGCCGUUUCUCUUUCACUCCAGUGUCGCAGAGAGAGGUGCUCGAAUUAUUUCCAUCAGUGCAGUAUAGCGCCUCCGGUCCUGGGGGUUUGAUUGCUCCCUUCACCUCUCCGUGGCGAAUCGCCCAACCUUAAUUGGAGAAUUGAGACGCCUACCUAGUCGCUGUUUGAGGGCCCCUCCUCAGUGGAGCUGCUGUCUUGUCCCGUCUUGUUUCCCGUUUCGUUUCUUGCCAGAUUGACUGUGACGUCAUAGCACUGAUGGAUGACGCAACUUUGGCAAACUACAUUCCCUCGCACGGAGACCGAAUUGCCCUCUUCAAUUUCUGCAAAAGCAAGCAACCACUGUCAAAAAGAAAACUAGGACUUCUGCAAAAACUUCGUGAGAAAAUGAAAACCAGAAAAGAAAGUCCAAAGGAGAACACCUCACAUACAGAUGCAGGAAUAAGACAGACAAAGAAGCAAAAAGCAACACGAAAUGUUG